AGAGUUUGAUCCUGGCUCAGGAUGAACGCUAGCGGCAGGCUUAAUACAUGCAAGUCGUGGGGCAGCAUGAAUGUAGCAAUACAUUUGAUGGCGACCGGCAAACGGGUGCGGAACACGUACACAACCUUCCUAUAAGUGGGGAAUAGCCCAGAGAAAUUUGGAUUAAUACCCCGUAACAUAAUGAUGUGGCAUCACAUUAUUAUUAUAGCUUCGGCGCUUAUUGAUGGGUGUGCGGCUGAUUAGAUAGUUGGCGGGGUAACGGCCCACCAAGUCUACGAUCAGUAGCUGAUGUGAGAGCAUGAUCAGCCACACGGGCACUGAGACACGGGCCCGACUCCUACGGGAGGCAGCAGUAAGGAAUAUUGGUCAAUGGACGCAAGUCUGAACCAGCCAUGCCGCGUGAAGGAUUAAGGUCCUCUGGAUUGUAAACUUCUUUUAUCUGGGACGAAAAAAGGCGAUUCUUCGUCACUUGACGGUACCAGAUGAAUAAGCACCGGCUAACUCCGUGCCAGCAGCCGCGGUAAUACGGAGGGUGCAAGCGUUAUCCGGAUUCACUGGGUUUAAAGGGUGCGUAGGCGGGCAGGUAAGUCAGUGGUGAAAUCCUGGAGCUUAACUCCAGAACUGCCAUUGAUACUAUCUGUCUUGAAUAUUGUGGAGGUAAGCGGAAUAUGUCAUGUAGCGGUGAAAUGCUUAGAUAUGACAUAGAACACCUAUUGCGAAGGCAGCUUACUACGCAUAUAUUGACGCUGAGGCACGAAAGCGUGGGGAUCAAACAGGAUUAGAUACCCUGGUAGUCC
rnacentral:rRNA from 1 species